rnacentral:lncRNA from 1 species
CAGCAACUAAGAUAAGAGAUGUGUACAAAGCCAUUUACUUCCACUCACAGGUGUUACAUUUGUCUUUUCGUGACAAGUGCCAGGACUCGGGGGGGAAAAAAAAGAUGGAUCAUUUCUUAGAAAUGAACUGUAAGAACAAACAGUAGAAAAGGAGACAAAGAAACAAAGGCUUGCAGCAGCUGGGUCUCAGUCAACCUCUGUUCUCCCACAGGGUCUUAAGAAUUCGUUUCCUCUUUCAUGAAACCAUUUGUUUGAAACCCAUUUACACCCUACUAGCACCGGACAAGCUGCGUGCCUUGUUCUGUAAUCACCCUCACCACUUCUG